rnacentral:rRNA from 1 species
GACGAACGCUGGCGGCGUGCUUAACACAUGCAAGUCGAGCGGUAAGGCCCUUUCGGGGGUACACGAGCGGCGAACGGGUGAGUAACACGUGGGUGACCUGCCCUCAGCUCUGGGAUAAGCCUGGGAAACCGGGUCUAAUACUGGAUAUGACUCCAUGACGCAUGUUGUGGGGUGGAAAGCCUUGUGCGGCUGAGGAUGGGCCCGCGGCCUAUCAGCUUGUUGGUGGGGUGANGGCCUACCAAGGCGACGACGGGUAGCCGGCCUGAGAGGGCGACCGGCCACACUGGGACUGAGACACGGCCCAGACUCCUACGGAAGGCAGCAGUGGGGAAUCUUGCGCAAUGGGCGAAAGCCUGACGCAGCGACGCCGCGUGAGGGA